rnacentral:lncRNA from 1 species
UUCAUUCCAUUGCCAACAUAUAUUCUCCUUGUCUCUUCUCCGAUGAUGAGUUGAUAUACGAAAAAGAAAUUUUAUAUCGUGAGUAACAAAAUUUUCAUUGCCAUACAAUUUUUCAAUAGACCGAAAAAGAAAGCGGUGAGUGAAAUUUGAGUAAGGAUGAAAAUGUGGUCUCAUUUUGUGUUUGGAUUUUUAAAUUAACUAAUCUAUUCAAUUGCAUUCAUAUCGGUUAUAUCGGUUGAUUCAAUCAGAGCCACCGUGAGUCAAUCGGACGUGUGACGUUUUUCUGAGUUUUUUUUACUUUUCUCCAGGUUCACUACUCUGGCUGUAUACGAUAAAAUUUCACACAACCCCGCCUUAAAUUCACCAAAGCUGACGUGUCAGUUCUACUUCCUUUUUUCCCUCUUCUUCUCAUCUUCCCCUGUCAAAUUUCCUUAAAAAUUAUUCCACCACCAUCAAACAAAAAAUCCGCCACUGAUCCACAACUCUCUCCACCACCGUCAAGCGGCUGCCCACACCGCAGCGCACGCGCCGGUCAACACACAACCCCACCCGAUCCACCCCCCUCCCCCCCACCGUCAAACGGCGGCCGACGAUGACGAUCCUCGGCAGAUCCACCGCAUCCCCUUCCCCUUCCCCUGCUCCGUCCCCUUCACCCCUUACUCACCACAACCACAACUACCACCACAGGUUCCACAUCCACCGACCUCCGCUGGACUCAGGAGCUUCUUCAUCAUCGCUACCGUCCACCUCGUCCCCUUCCACAGUCGAAUUCAGUCCGCCGCUGAUCGCGAUGGUGGUCGUGGUAGCCGCUGCUCUGCUUGUUAUCACCUACUCCCGCCUGAUCUCCCGAUCCCUCGUCAUGCUCCUCCGCCGCUACCGCCGCCGCACCCCGCGGGCGCGCCGCCGACGCAGGCGGCGUCACUUUCCGAAUUCCGCUCCAUCGUCAACAGGGGGCGGCGAUCGACUCGACUCUCCUCUACCGUUCUUUGACUCCCCUGACGAAUUCCACCACCUCUACUACCCUAACUAUGGCCUCGACGAGUCGGUGAUCAAGACGAUCCCGAUCUCCCUCUACACCAAAUCGCUAAAGCCGCCGCAGUCGCCUGCGGCGACCAGAGAUUGCGCCGUCUGCUUGCUGGAGUUCGAACACGGUCGAGACUACGUCCGCACUCUCCCGAACUGCUCGCACGCGUUCCACGUGGACUGCAUCGACAUCUGGCUUAGGUCUCACGCCAACUGUCCACUCUGCCGCUCCCGGAUCUUCCUCCCAUCAUCCCCUCCUCCGCCGUUCGUCCCACUGAUGGCAGCUCGAAUCCGCCCCAGCUUCGUCGAGAAUCCGAAUUUCCUCCUCCCGGAUCUCGAGUUCCAACCUUCCGUAAUCCGAGAAUCCUCCGAAAUCACUCCCUGCGUCGAAGAAGACGAAGAGGAUGAGGAAAGAAUCAACGAUUUCGGUCUGGACAGCAGCAUUAGCAGAAGGAACAACAACUUCAACAACCUCUUAAAGCGGUCCUACUCGUUCGGAUUCGAGCGAUCCGAGAGAAUGACGCUGGCGACCGAGCCGGCUACAGUGUCUC